AGCCAGACUCCUACGGGAGGCAGCAGUGGGGAAUAUUGCACAAUGGGGGAAACCCUGAUGCAGCAACGCCGCGUGAGUGAAGAAGUAUUUCGGUAUGUAAAGCUCUAUCAGCAGGGAAGAAGAAGGACGGUACCUGACUAAGAAGCCCCGGCUAACUACGUGCCAGCAGCCGCGGUAAUACGUAGGGGGCGAGCGUUAUCCGGAUUUACUGGGUGUAAAGGGAGCGUAGACGGUUAAUCAAGUCUGAAGUGAAAGCCCGCGGCUCAACUGCGGAACGGCUUUGGAAACUGUGCAGCUGGAGUGCAGGAGAGGUAAGCGGAAUUCCUAGUGUAGCGGUGAAAUGCGUAGAUAUUAGGAGGAACACCAGUGGCGAAGGCGGCUUACUGGACUGUAACUGACGUUGAGGCUCGAAAGCGUGGGGAGCAAACAGGAUUAGAUACCCCCGUA
rnacentral:rRNA from 1 species